rnacentral:tRNA from 1 species
GACAGAGUAGUUAAGAGUUUGGGCUCUGGAGCCAGACUGCCUGGGUUCAAAUCCCAGCUCUGCUA